GAACUCCAGUCAAGACAGUGCCACAGUAGAACAGAGAAGACCCAGACGGGUCGGUUUCCAUUUGUCCUGGAGCCUGACACUACAGCUCUGGCACACUU